rnacentral:rRNA from 1 species
UACGGGGGGAGCAAGCGUUGUUCGGAUUUAUUGGGCGUAAAGAGCGUGUAGGCGGCUAGGUAGGUCCGUUGUGAAAACUCGAGGCUCAACCUCGAGACGCCGGUGGAAACCAUCUAGCUAGAGUCCGGAAGAGGAGAGUGGAAUUCCUGGUGUAGCGGUGAAAUGCGCAGAUAUCAGGAAGAACACCCGUGGCGAAGGCGGCUCUCUGGGACGUGACUGACGCUGAGGAGCGAAAGUGUGGGGAGCGAACAGG